GGAGUGGCUGCAGUCCCAAGGGUUGGUGGCAAAGCAUCUGACUUGCAUGCAAAAUGUCCCAGGUUCAGUCCCUGGCAUCUGCA